rnacentral:rRNA from 1 species
CCUACGGGAGGCAGCAGUGAGGAAUAUUGGUCAAUGGACGAGAGUCUGAACCAGCCAAGUAGCGUGAAGGAUGACUGCCCUAUGGGUUGUAAACUUCUUUUAUAUGGGAAUAAAACGUUCCACGUGUGGGAUUUUGUAUGUACCAUAUGAAUAAGGAUCGGCUAACUCCGUGCCAGCAGCCGCGGUAAUACGGAGGAUCCGAGCGUUAUCCGGAUUUAUUGGGUUUAAAGGGAGCGUAGGUGGAUUGCUAAGUCAGUUGUGAAAGUUUGCGGCUCAACCGUAAAAUUGCAGUUGAAACUGGCAGUCUUGAGUACAGUAGAGGUGGGCGGAAUUCGUGGUGUAGCGGUGAAAUGCUUAGAUAUCACGAAGAACUCCGAUUGCGAAGGCAGUUCACUGGACUGCAACUGACACUGAGGCUCGAAAGUGUGGGUAUCAAACAGGAUUAGAUACCCGUGUAGUC